GAUGAACGCUGGCGGCGUGCCUAAUACAUGCAAGUCGAGCGAACAGAUAAGGAGCUUGCUCCUUUGACGUUAGCGGCGGACGGGUGAGUAACACGUGGGUAACCUACCUAUAAGACUGGAAUAACUCCGGGAAACCGGGGCUAAUACCGGAUAACAUUUAGAACCGCAUGGUUCUAAAGUGAAAGACGGUUUUGCUGUCACUUAUAGAUGGACCCGCGCCGUAUUAGCUAGUUGGUAAGGUAACGGCUUACCAAGGCAACGAUACGUAGCCGACCUGAGAGGGUGAUCGGCCACACUGGAACUGAGACACGGUCCAGACUCCUACGGGAGGCAGCAGUAGGGAAUCUUCCGCAAUGGGCGAAAGCCUGACGGAGCAACGCCGCGUGAGUGAUGAAGGUCUUCGGAUCGUAAAACUCUGUUAUUAGGGAAGAACAAAUGUGUAAGUAACUGUGCACAUCUUGACGGUACCUAAUCAGAAAGCCACGGCUAACUACGUG
rnacentral:rRNA from 1 species